ACAAAUCCGCGUGAGGGAUAGUAGUGGAGCUCCUUUUUCUUGACUUGCGUCGGGUUUAAACCCGAGGCAAUUCAAGAAAAAGAGCGGGAACGAAUAGCCCGACCCUUU
rnacentral:sRNA from 1 species